ensembl:misc_RNA Metazoa_SRP Metazoan signal recognition particle RNA
GCCAGGCGUGGUGGCACAUGCCUGUAGUCCCAGCUACUUGGGAGGCUGAGGCAGGAGAAUCGCUUGAACCCAGGAGGUGGAGGUUGCAGUGAGCCAAGAUAGUGCCAUUGAACUCCAGCCUGGGUGACAGAGUGAGACCCUGUCUCAA